rnacentral:rRNA from 1 species
AACGAACGCUGGCGGCGCGCCUAAUACAUGCAAGUCGAGCGAGAAGACGUAGCAAUACGUUUGUAAAGCGGCGAACGGGUGAGGAAUACAUGGGUAACCUACCCUCGAGUGGGGAAUAACUAGCCGAAGGUUAGCUAAUACCGCGUACGCUCCUUGGACUUCGGUUCAGGGAGGAAAGCGAUACCGUGGGUAUCGCGCUCUUGGAUGGGCUCAUGUCCUAUCAGCUUGUUGGUGAGGUAACGGCUCACCAAGGCUUCGACGGGUAGCUGGUCUGAGAGGACGAUCAGCCACACUGGCACUGCGACACGGGCCAGACUCCUACGGGAGGCAGCAGUAAGGAAUAUUGCGCAAUGGGCGAAAG